AUUGAACGCUGGCGGCAUGCCUAACACAUGCAAGUCGAGCGGAUGAAGCGAGCUUUUUUCUGGUGUCAGCGUCGGACGCGUGUGUAAUACCUAUGAAUCUCCCUCGUUUUAGUUUAUAACGUCCUCAGGCGAGCGCUACUACCGCAUGCUUCCUGCUCCUGCUAGUUGGGGGUCUUCGGACCUCACGCUAUCAUAUGAGCCUAGGUCGGAUUAGCUAGUUGGUGGGGUAAAGGCCUACCUAGCCGACGAUCCGUGACUGGUCGGAGAGGAUGAUAAGUCACACUGGAAGUGAGACACGGUCAAGACUCCUACGGGAGGGAGCAGUGGGGAAUAUUAGACAAUGGGCGAAAGCAUGAUCCAGUGAUGCCGCGUGUGUGAAGAAGGUCUUCGGAUUGUAAAGAACUUUAAGUGGGGAGGAACGGCAGUAAGUUAAGACCUAGCUGUAUUGACGUUAACAACAGAAUAAGCACCGGCUAACUACGUG
rnacentral:rRNA from 1 species